rnacentral:rRNA from 1 species
GAUGAACGCUAGCUAUAGGCUUAACACAUGCAAGUCGAGGGACCGGCGCACGGGUGAGUAACGCGUAUCCAACCUACCCAUAACUAAGGGAUAACCCAGCGAAAGUUGGACUAAUACCUUAUGGUUAUGGAUGGGUAUGCGUCUGAUUAGCUUGUUGGCGGGGUAACGGACCACCAAGGCAACGAUCCGUAGGGGUUCUGAGAGGAAGGACGCCGACAUUGGAACGGAGACACGGUCAAAACUCCUAAGGGAGGCAGCAGUGAGGAAAAUUGGUGAAUGGACGCAAGUCUGAACCAGCCAAGUAGCGUGCAGGAUGACGGCAUAUGGGUUGUAAACUGAUUUUAUAUGGGGAUAGGUACCAUAUGAAUAAGGACCGGCUAAUUCCGUGCCAGCAGCAGCGGUAAUUC